AAUAUAAAGUAAUUGUUUUAUCUCUGAUUUGCAAAUCUUUUAUUUUCAUUGCAGCAAACAAAGGAAAUCCUUGUUUCAGAAACUGUUCAGCUGAAUCCAGGUGAUGUGGAUGUGAUCCCUGCUUGUGGCCUGCAGCCUGUAUCAUGUUAGUUACUAAUUUAAAAGGCACAGGGGGAAAUCCUGGCCCUGUUGAAGGCAAUGGCAAAAUUCACAUUGACUUUUUUAUAGCUAGAUUUCCCUGGUACUCUAACUUUCACAGUUGUGAUGGCUGCAAGAGUCAAGUUGAAAAAGGCGCAAUCAGGGUUUUUGUAAGAAAUCUAAAGCUUGGAAGUUGUUGUGGUGCAGCUAAUUCUCUGCCGCAUUCCUCUGUCCUUCAGAAUAAUUGUUUUCUCGGAGAAGUCAUCUAUUUUUUCAUACGCUUUAGAUCUCUUCCACAGCUGAGAUUGUUUCUCUGCUUCCCAUAGCUGGUGUGUGAAAGUAUCCACUCAGAAAGAAAACUUGUCCAUAGACUGUUGUUGAGUGAUUUGGGCUCCAUAAUAACAGCCAGGUUUUUGGUAGUCUCUUUCAUGAUCCAAUUUAUCCUCUCUGCUGUACCCAUGGCAAAGUCUUCAUCUUGGGUCUCACUGAAGGGGUUCAGAUACCCAGGUGAUGGCUGGGGUAUUGGAACUGGAUAGUAUAGAUCCAUGUCUACCCCAGUUUUUUCCUCUCCCCAUGUUGCUUUUCUGAUUUAGCCUGUUAUGCUAACAUUUGCUGGACUUCUAAUUUGUUAUUGUUUCCAAGUAAAAUAUUGCUGUUAGAGGGCGUUUAGCUGUUGUAGAAGCAGGAUUCUGCUGGCAGUUCAGUGGAAUAUGUGCAGCAGGCAACUUGCAUUAUGUUACUCCCCCUUUUCUUGACUUUAGUGGGACUACUUGGAUGUCGCAUAGGACCAUCUGCACUGGUGUCAUCAGCAACCACGCAGAGCCCCAUGGCUGCGGUGCCACAAAGCCUUCCUGGGGCCGUUUCCUGACAUCCCAACAAUGCACUGGACUGAGGCAGUACUUGACAUUACAAAGCACCAAAAUUGGCAGAGAAGGAUAAAAUGUCGAAAACUGUUAUAUCCACUUGAAAGAAAAAGAUUCCCAAAUCCCGAUAUUCACAAGAUCUUGAAUAUUGCUGAUGGACCUCUGUUGGCUUUGUCUGAAAAAGGAAAUCGGUCUAAAAUAAAAAAUGAUAUUUUAGCCCUCUGAAAGCUUCUUAUGCCAAUCCCGGAAAGAAAUGGGAACAUUUUCCAAACAUGCAACUGUUCUGUCCAGAAGCACAAGUAUCAUUUUGAGUUUUAACAACUGCUUCGUUAUGUGUCACUCCUUAUAAGUGGUAUC